UACGUAGGGGCCGAGCGUUGUCCGGAAUUACUGGGCGUGAAGCGCGCGCAGGCGGCUGUCCGCGCCCGGCGUGAAAGCCCCCGGCUCAACCGGGGAGGGUCGUCGGGGACGGGACAGCUUGAGGGCGGGAGGGGUCGGUGGAAUUCCCGGUGUAGUGGUGAAAUGCGUAGAGAUCGGGAGGAACACCCGUGGCGAAGGCGGCCGACUGGCCCGACCCUGACGCUGAGGCGCGAAGGCGUGGGGAGCGAACGGGAUUAGAAACCCCAGUAGUCC
rnacentral:rRNA from 1 species